rnacentral:lncRNA from 1 species
UUCUCUGAGGCAAGUGGCUUAAUUAAAGUACAGUUUUCUGGUGAUGAUAAGAUAAGCAAAAUAGAGCACAUCCAAUUUUGUGAGCACAGUUGAAGUACCUGCUUUGCAUUAGGUCUGUUCACAUCCCAUUAGCCAAAGCAAGUCACAUGAUCAAGUCCAAAUGUAAAAGGCUGGGGGGCAUGUGACUGCUUUUGUGUGGGAACUACAGUGAUACAUGGAAGCUACAGGGUAUGUUGAAAAUUUGAGGCUUGUAAUUCAAUUUACCAGAGUUCUCAAAAUUAUCAUUUUGAAUGAUGCUGCAGGUAAGAGUCAUCAUACCUGAGCUUGCAGUUUCUCAUUGGGGGUUCUAUUUUCAUUUCAGAUGGGGCAAACCUUCCUGGAUGUUGUUCAAUUUUAGCAUUGCUGGCUCUUACCCACUUAACUCCACAGACUUUACAAGAAAGAAAAAUAAAAUGCUACAUGCAAAGAGUAUGAAGAAGAAGACCAAGAAAAGGGUGUGGAGAAGAAAGAGGAGGAGGAGAAUGGAAAGUCAGAGCAGUAAGCAAUGAGUUUACUCAUGGUCGGUUCAAAAAAAAAACAGAAGGGAAGGAAAGAUUUGGAGGUUACUGGAUGAUGAAGCUACUUGAUCAUAAAAAAAAAAAAACAUGUAAAGGAAGAAUUCAAGGCCUUGGGACUAUGCAAGUGGGAACUGGAAAUGGGAUUCCUACAUGAAGAUGGGACCCUCAAAGUUUAUACUUUGGGUAAAAUGGGAAACUCAAUAAAAUCUAUCCAUUGGCCACAGGAAAUAACAAGGGAGCUUAUUGCUCUACAUUAAAGGAAAGCUUUCCAUUCGAAUUCAGGGCCUUGGCCCAUUCCUUACUUGGAGUUAGAGCAAAAAUAGCAGUAGUUCUUAUAUGGCCCAGCCAUGCAAGAAAUUGACUUAAAUUUGAUUCUGAGCCAGUGGUAGUCUAGGGUACAUGAUAUAAGUGAAAUGCAAAGCCACUUUGGAGGGAUAUUCCCAUGACCAAGGUGACAAGGGGUUCUCAUAGGACCACAUUUAAGAUGAGUUAACUUUUUCAAAUCACACAGCAUGAAAUAACCCAAUCACCACAAAUGCUUGAUAAUGUUUCUCUUCGUUCUUGUGUCUGCUCAGAAUCUGAGGCAAUAAAA